AAUGCAAUGUCUCUGUUCUUUCACUCUGUACUGAGUGAAUGUUUAUUUCUCUAGCUUGUUGAAAAACAAGAGUCUAAAACAAUUUCAUUUGAUCACAUAGCUAACGGAGUUAGCAAGCAUGGCAUUUUCUUUUGACUGCGCACAGGUCUCGCAAGCAAACAAUGAUCAUUAUGUGCAACCCGCACCCGUGCUACUUUUUACUUGUGGUGGGCGACUUCAGGUUUUUGGGUACACAGUGAAAAUGAACUUGACACUUGCAAAUGUGGAUUAUAAUGACGAAAAUAAAAUUGCAUUGACAUUAAUGCAUAAGGUCUGAGAAUUGAUGGGCGAAUGGGCGCGUUCCAGUGCAUGCUUUAUGAUACGUUUAAUGCAGUAGUAGUUUAUCCGGGGGGACUUGUUCAUAUCCCAGAUUGUGUUUAUGCUCUAAAGCAUGGAAUAGCACCUGUAUUGAUGUGUGUGCUAGGAAAAUAUGUAUAUGUUUAUGAACUGAACGUGUUGUUUGGUAUUUCAUGCCUUGUAAUUGAUAAUUGACCAUGAUGUCAAUUGGGUUGUUCUCAUUGGUCAAAUGCAUAAUGGGAAGUGUUAUUAUUAUUUUAGUCCUGUAAUUUCCUUGUUAGAGGGAGAGAAAGGGUAAAGUCGGCAUGCUUCUGGGUUUUCAGGUAUGAUUGAAACCUGUUUGUUUUUUUGAGCUCUAUUUGAUUUGAUUUAUGUUCCAUGUGUCCAGUUAAUUAUUUUUUUAUAUGGUGUUCAGUGGCUAAAUCACUUGCAAAUAAAAGGCCUCAAUCUGA